GUUUAGAUAGCUAAAAAAUGGCAGAAUCAACGGUCGACAAUGCAGACGAGGACGAGGAGGAACAGCCCCGGCCUCACACUGAAAGCAUGUUUAGUUUACAAACAGUGUGAAACUGCAGUUACAUUAUGCGGUGUCUUCUGUGUGUCCCACAACAAACGGAUAUUUCAGCGUUCAGAAACUCAACGUCUAACUCGAGGAAACAUGUUGCGCUCCCUGGCCAGAAUCAUCCCUGGAGUCACCCUCCCGUCUUCGUCCCCAGGCGGUGCAGGUUUCUUCUUCGUUGACAAGAGUCGAGUCUCUCCACCCCUGCAUUGACUGCCAUGGUGUGAACGACAUCACGGUUAAGAACAGGAAGGACGCUCCCAGUGGCCCUCAAGCGCGUCAGCGUCUUUUAAGUCCAUGAAUGGCCUGCUAUCACGGCUAUCAAGUCUGGACACCAGGACAGAGGAGAGGACCAUCAUCCCCCACCACCACCAGCCCCAGACUCCUUCCCUAUCUUGGGGGGGAUGGUACUGUGCUGAGUUUCCACUGGGGGUUUAAAACUGAACAAUUCACUGCAGAACACUGGGAAUACAGGCUGCUUUGUGAAUUUGAAAUCAGAGGCAGUGCCACCACUGUGUGAAAAAGUGUAUUGCAAAAACCUGUGACCCUAAAUACUAAAUAUAUUAUACAUUUAGCUAAAUCUUAAACUGUAAGUCAGAGGCUGCUGGGCGUCAAACAGAAUCCAGGUGCCUUAGCCUUAUCAAAUGCGUAGCUAACAACUCACUUUGCAGUUACUGAGUCCAGCUGUUGUUGAUCCAAGAAAAAAAAAAAAGCUGACACCAGCAUUAACUGUGGCCAAAACCGUUGUAUCUCAUUUUUCAGUUCAUGCAGGGACUAACCCAAACCUGCCUGUCUCACUUUUUAAGCUAGGCUAAACAUUUUGUUGAACUGUUUCCAGACAUGACACACAAAGAUAAAACUGAUAUUCAUUUUCAUAUCUAAUUUUAAAAACUGGGUUUUCCCAAAAUGUUGGACUUCUGUUUUUUGUCCACUUUAACCUAGCCUCAGCACCAACUCUUUCAUUGCUGAUUUCAUUUUCAGUGGGAGCACAUAUAACUGAAACCAAAAGGCUACAGCAGUUGCUUUACCAA